ACAAAUGCUUAGAUAAAUAUAUAUAUACUAGCGUAGUAUCCCGUGCGAUGCGACGGAUAGAUAAUUAGAGAAAAUAUAGAAAGUAUCGAUAAAAAAAAAAGAAGAAAGCAGCGAUAAAAAAAACGAUAAUGAGGGGUGGGAUUCAUUUUGCCGUUGAACGAAAAUAGCAGCUGAAGGAAGAGGAAGAGAAAGGACUUUAGCUGGUUCAGGUGGAGCACACACUUAAAAAUGAAAAAAAAGUUGCCAUGUGGCAACUUUAGAAAAAAUAAUGUAUAAAUAAAUAAAUAAAUAAAUAAAUAAUAUAUAUGAUUGAUAAUUGAAGUUUUUUUUCUUCGAAUUAUUAUAAUUAAUUAACAUAUAAUGCAAGUUUGCCGAAUAAUGAAUGAUAUGAAUCAAUUGGUCUGGUUCAGUCUAAUAAAGCAGACUGGUUCAAGCAAAGAAAGAGGGCACCGGUUUGGUUCAGGCAAACAAAAAACAGGGAACAGGAACCGGUUUAGUAUAGAGGCCUCACUCAACCAUGUUUGGUUCAAGCAAAAAAAGGUAAAAUUAUUUGGAGGACUUGAGCCGGUUCAGGAUGGGACUCAUACUAGACAAUUCGGUUUGGUUCAACUAAAGGAAAAGAACCGGCGGAGCCCACACCCAACAACAUUGAAGCUUGUGUUGCCAUGUGGCAAGUUUUUUGAGAAAUAAUGUAAAGUAAUAGAUAAUAGAUAGAUAAUUAUAAUAACACAAGGGAUGAG
rnacentral:lncRNA from 1 species